UACGGAGGAUGCAAGCGUUAUCCGGAAUCAUUGGGCGUAAAGCGUCCGUAGGUGGUUAGUCAAGUCCAUUGUCAAAGAAAGCAGCUUAACUGCAGGCCGGCAGUGGAAACUGAAAAACUAGAGCCAAAUAGGGGUAGAGGGAAUUCCCGGUGUAGCGGUGAAAUGCGUAGAGAUCGGGAAGAACACCAGUGGCGAAAGCGCUCUACUGGAUUAAGGCUGACACUGAGGGACGAAAGCUAGGGGAGCGAAAGGG
rnacentral:rRNA from 1 species